UACUCACAGCUGUGAAAACUUCAAAUCGUACAUGAUUAAUUAAAUUUUUGAGCUUCGUAGUGGUUCGUAUUGCUCUGCCACCUGUGAGUCGUUUACAGUUAAACACCUUGGAUCUACGAGUAGUGUAAUGAGUAGUCCAGUCUUCCACCUGUGAGUCGUUCACAGUUAUUUAAAAACAUAUGGGCGAUACCAGUGAUGCACAUGAGUCUUCCAACCCCCAACCCACCUUUUGCCAUUUCGACAAAUCUAUUCAUUUAAUGCCAGGAGUAAUUUUGAAACCCAAAUAUCACAAGUUGUCUAUGACAAAGUAGAACUUGCUUUGUCUUUUGAGUAAAAAUAAAUGUAUCAUACUUCUCACUUCAAUUGCGCUAUACUGCCAAAUGCCGUCUAGUGAAGUGGACUAUUAAAACGUCCGGUGGCGGUAGUUCAUUUGGUUUUUCGAUUAAAUUGCCCUGGUAAUGGUGACAUGCUUUCCCAAGAGUCCUUGGCAGUAAAAGUGCUAAAGCACUGCAAACUGGAACAGAAGUAACAGAAUAUAAAAGUAUAUUAUUAAAUCCACGAAAGUGACUGAAAGAAUAAUGAGCAAGAAUUGUAACAACUAAACAUCAAAUUAUAUGCAUUGAUAUGACAGCUCUGAAAAAGGCCAUGUACCUGGAACAGCAACAAAUGCCAUGGCACUGUAGAUCCCAAUCAUCAUCAUGGCUCUGGCUCGGUGGUGACAACUAUUGAACUCAGCAAGUUUAAAAUUACUGGUGACGGCUGGAAUAGAAUCGGAGACAUUUUGGGCAUUAGAUCGUAGUGCCUCAGCCACUAAAUACAACCAAGUCACAUGACGAUGGGAGCAGAUCCAACUUGUGAAAUGUCGUAUCAAAUUGUCUAUACUAAAAAACAGACCACAGAAAUAUAUGUAUUUAAUAUAA